AUGUAUCAGACGAGAAAGUUGUGGUGUGCUCCAUAUCUUGAGGGGCGUUGUUUCCUAGGAUUGAGCAGCAAUCAGAGGAGUGAGAGCUUGAACUCUGUGCUACAUACGCAUCUUGAGGGUAAGAUGUCGUUGUUUGAAAUGCUAGAGCACUAUGAGCAUUGCCUCGCGUCACGACGGAUUAACGAAGCUCUCCAUGACGUCGAAGCCUUGCAGUCCGUUCCAUUUACAGAGGAAAAUGCUUCACCGCUUGAGAAACACGCCGCAAUAGUUUUCACACCUAGUGUCUUUAAGAUGGUGUUAUGGAGCAUAGAUGCUGUCAGCAAAUGUCAGAUCAGAGAGAUACUAGAUGGAUCAUAA
rnacentral:rRNA from 1 species